UACUCUCACACUCUCUGAUCUGUUUGGAUUCGGGGAGCGGUGGACUUGGGUGCUUGCUGCUUUCCUUGUGGCUCACCUCAAAUGCGUCAGUGCACCUCUUGGUUGGACAUAGUACGGCGUGAUAAGUGUCUUCGCCGGCACCUCGCAAGAGGGUGGCCGAUCGAGAGCUCUGUGCUUUCAAACCGUCUUCGGACAAUCUCUGACAAC
rnacentral:misc_RNA from 1 species